rnacentral:rRNA from 1 species
GAUGAACGCUGGCGGCGUGCCUAACACAUGCAAGUCGAGCGGAUGGACGGAGCUUUUGCCUGGCUUCAGCGGGGGGCGGGCGAGUGAUGCACAGGAGUCUGCCUGGUCUGGGGGGCUAACAUCCGGACGCGAGCGCUGAUAUCGCAUACGACCAGAUGGUGAAACUGGGGGAUCUUCGGACAUAACCGGUCUAGCUGAGACUAGGCCGGAUUUGCUAGUUGGUGGGGUAAGGGCUUACCAAGGCGGCGUUCCAUAACUAAUCUGCGAGGCUGAUCAGCCACCCUGGAACUGAGACACGGUCCAGACUCCUACGGGAGGCAGCAGUAGGGAAUAUUAGGCAAUGGGCGAAAGCCUGAUCCAGCCAUGCCGCGUGUGUGAAGAAGGUCUUCGGAUCGUAAAGCACUUUUAGUUGGGAAGAACCGCUGUGAGAUUAUACGUGGCUGUUUUGACGUUACCAACAGAAUAAGCACCGGCUAACUACGUG